rnacentral:rRNA from 1 species
GGGUGCGAUCAUACCAGCACUAAUGCACCGGAUCCCAUCAGAACUCCGCAGUGAAGCGUGCUUGGGCGAGAGUAGUACUAGGAUGGGUGACCUCCUGGGAAGUCCUCGUGUUGCACCCC